rnacentral:rRNA from 1 species
UACGUAGGGGGCAAGCGUUGUCCGGAAUCAUUGGGCGUAAAGAGCGCGUAGGCGGUCCGAUAAGUCGGCUGUGAAAGUCAGGGGCUCAACCCUUGAAAGCCGGCCGAUACUGUCGGACUAGAGUCCGGAAGAGGCGAGUGGAAUUCCCGGUGUAGCGGUGAAAUGCGCAGAUAUCAGGAGGAACACCGAUGGCGAAGGCAGGUCUCUGGGCUGACACUGACGCUCAUGCACGAAAGCGUGGGGAGCAAACAGG